rnacentral:rRNA from 1 species
UACGUAGGGGGCAAGCGUUGUCCGGAAUCAUUGGGCGUAAAGGGCGCGUAGGUGGUUCUGUAUGUCUACCGUGAAAGCGUACGGCUCAACCGUAUUUUGUCGGUAGAAACUGCAGGACUUGAGGCUGGGAGGGGCUGGUGGAAUUCCCUGUGUAGCGGUGAAAUGCGUAGAGAUCUGGAGGAACACCGAUGGCGAAGGCAGCCUUCUGGGCCAACACUGACGCUCAUGCACGAAAGCGUGGGGAGCAAACAGG